CUUGUGUGUUUCAUUCUCUGUUUCCUUGCGUGCCUGUUUAACUUCUUGCUUAGUUGUUUGGUUCUUGCUUGCUUCCUUGUUUUCUUCUUUCAAUCCUUACUAGCCUCUUGCUUCCUUGCUUGUUUUCUCACUUGCUCCUUUAUUACAUGCUUACUUAAUUUCCUUAUCUACUGAACUUGUUUGACCUUUUUAUCAUUUUCUUAAUCUUCUUACUUACUCACUUACUCAAAACUAUCUCUCUAGCUUGUUUCUCAGUUGAAUUUUAUUUAGAUAGUUCUAGGUCUCUGUUUAACAAUAGUAUAGAUGGAAGACUAUUGAGCGUUUAUCAACGGUUUCACACGAUUCCAGUUAUACAAUAAUGGAGGUCUAUGAUCAUUCUUCUCUCUUUACGUCCUCAUUGAUCAGAUUUUAAUUUCGUUUGCAAUUUUUGCAACCAGUUUCUGAAGCAAGAGCCUCAUGAAUUCCUGGGGACCAUGAAACAAGAGGGAACCCUACUUUUAAAAGGAAAGAAACAUUGGCAAUCCUCAUCUCUGGAUUUCUAUCAAAUUUGUUUUUGUUCCUUUCUUCUGUGGUAUUGAGGGUUUUGUACUUCCGCUGGAUUACGAGAGGGCACUCAAGUUUUCAAAGGUAUGAAAUCAAGCCUAGAAUUUUUACUCUUAAUUGAAUUCAAUCAUUGUUCUGUUUUGGUUUUGUAUCUUCUUUAUCCAUAAUUACAGAGGCGAAUGAAAAGAUUUAGGUGUUUUUGGUGAGGCAUAAUGGCUUCACAUUAUUAAUGCAGGUUUUGACUGGUUAGCGUCAUAAAGGUAAUAGUCUUGGUCAUCGUGAUAUGCCAUUAGAAUUUGAUGCUUCUCUGAGGUAUAGAAUAUUUGGUGAAAAACUCUCGCGGUUAUUUUUUAUUAUGUUAGCAUUCGGUGUUUCAAGAGUACAUUGAUGAAGUUUGCGCCUGAAUGGGAAGAAUAAUUUCUCACAUCCAAUGUGUGAUGGCUGCUAUAGUUAUGAGACAAGUUCUUAAACAGACCGUAAAAGAAGGGAAUGCAUCAACGACCUUUUAGCAUGAAUAGUUAGUCUCCCGGAUGAUUAGGAUUGAUCAUAGUAGAGAAGAUAUGAGAAGUUUGAUGUUCCAAUGGCCUACACUAUAGAGCAACAAUUAUUGAUGUUGGAAUAGCUUGGUCUGCAAGUUUUUACCGCUACCAUUUGUUCUUGACUUCUUUCAUGGGUUUUGGUUAGUAUAUGCAGGUAACAAUUACUUUUGUUUUUGUUGAGCUCAAAUAUAUACCACUCAUCAUAAAUACUGAUCUAUGGGUUUUUCCUUCCAUGUUCGGUGUUGAGGGAUUUGUUCUUCGGUUGGUUUACAAGAGGGAACUUAACUAUGAAAAAGGGAAGAAGCUUGGGGAAAAAAAGAACAAGAGAAGAUCAUGAUCAGCUAAAGUUGAGUAAUAUUGAUUUUUUUAAUGAAUUAUGUUACUAUUCUGCAUCGUCUCUCCAUUUGAAUCUUGAGAUUGAUUUAAGUGUAUUAAAAUGUGUUACAUUGGGACCUCAGAUAGAGUAUACUGGAGGGAGCUACUGAUUCAGAAGAUGCUCAUCACAAAGACUUCCUUUACGCUUGUUAGACAAUAGACACCAAUUUUCUUUUCUUUCAGUUUAAUUUUCUUAUUUGUUUGGUUGUCGGAUCAGGUUAAAAGAUACCACGAACUCUCCUAGAAAACCGGAGUAUAUUGCAGUAGCAGGAGCAGAUUGAUGAUUGUGAAGCAUGAACACGAGUAUUGGAAAUAUGUAGAGGAAGGUUAAACCUGAGAGAGACACUACUUUGCCAACCGAGAUAUGCCAGAAACUUGAAGACCAUUUGAGCUAGUGAGAUCAAUUAGAGGACCAGAUUCAUCCAAUCAUUGAUAAGAGCCAGUACCAACCUGAUAAACGAGAUACAGCAACAUCUAUGUCAGCCCACAAAGCACGAAGAGUACUUGAUCAACCUCUUCCACAUCCAGUUUCCCGAACCCGGAAAAUCUGCAUCCCAAAACAAAAUAUAGCUGCAUUCAUGCAUACAUCCAUACA